AGAGUUUGAUCCUGGCUCAGGAUUAACGCUGGCGGUAUGCAUAACACAUGCAAGUCGAACGAGGAUGUUUGCUGGACUUUGUCUAUAAGACAAAUGUAGAUAAAGCCCAGUAAGCAAGCCGAGUGGCGAACGAGAGAGUAACACGUUGGUAACCUACCUCAUACUCAGGGAUAACUCAGCGAAAGCUGGGCUAAUACCGGAUAGUCCGUGUACUGUAAUGGUACACGGUAAAGUUUUUACGGUAUGAGAGGGGCCUACGACCUAUCAGCUAGUUGGUGAGGUAAUAGCUCACCAAGGCUAUGACGGAUACUUGGUCUGAGAGGAUGAUCAGGCACAAUGGAACUGAGACACGGUCCAUACUCCUACGGGAGGCAGCAGUGAGGAAUCUUCCACAAUGGACGAAAGUCUGAUGGAGCGACACCGCGUGAAGGAUGAAGGCCUAACGGUUGUAAACUUCUUUUCUGAAGGAGCAUAAUGAGAGUACUUCAGGAAUAAGGGACGGCUAAAUACGUGCCAGCAGCCGCGGUAAUACGUAUGUCUCAAGCGUUACCCGGAAUCAUUGGGUGUAAAGGGUUUGUAGGUGGAUAAUUAAGUCAGGUAUGAAAGACCGGAGCUCAACUCCGUGUUUGUAUUUGAAACUGGUUGUCUAGAAUCAGGGAGAGGUAAGCGGAAUUCUAAGUGUAGGGGUGCAAUCCGUAGAUACUUAGAGGAACACCAAAAGCGAAGGCAGCUUACUGGAACUGUAUUGACACUGAUAAACGAAAGCGUGGGGAGCGAAAAGGAUUAGAUACCCUUGUAGUCCACGCCCUAAACGUUGAUAACUAAGUGUUGCGACUCGCUCGCAGUGCUGAAGCUAACGCGAUAAGUUAUCCACCUGAGGAGUACGGUCGCAAGAUUAAAACUCAAAGGAAUUGACGGGGACCCGCACAAGCGGUGGAUGAUGUGGUUUAAUUCGAUGCAACGCGAAAAACCUUACCCACCUUUGACAUGUACGGAAUCCUUUAGAGAUAGAGGAGUGCUCGAAAGAGAGCCGUAACACAGGUGCUGCAUGGCUGUCGUCAGCUCGUGUCGUGAGAUGUUGGGUUAAGUCCCGCAACGAGCGCAACCCUUGUCAUUAGUUGCUACGAAAGGGCACUCUAAUGAGACUGCCGGUGACAAACCGGAGGAAGGUGGGGAUGACGUCAAGUCCUCAUGGCCCUUAUAGGUGGGGCUACACACGUCAUACAAUGGCUGGUACAAAGGGUUGCCAACCCGCGAGGGGGAGCUAAUCCCACAAAGCCAGUCGUAGUCCGGAUCGCAGUCUGCAACUCGACUGCGUGAAGUCGGAAUCGCUAGUAAUCGUGGAUCAGAAUGUCACGGUGAAUACGUUCCCGGGUCCUGUACACACCGCCCGUCACACCAUGGGAGCGGGUUCUGCCAGAAGUAGUUAGCCUAACCGCAAGGAGGGCGAUUACCACGGCAGGGUUCGUGACUGGGGUGAAGUCGUAACAAGGUAACC
rnacentral:rRNA from 1 species